AUUGAACGCUGGCGGCAGGCCUAACACAUGCAAGUCGAGCGGAUGAAGAGAGCUUGCUCUCUGAUUUAGCGGCGGACGGGUGAGUAAUGCCUAGGAAUCUGCCUGGUAGUGGGGGAUAACGUUCCGAAAGGAACGCUAAUACCGCAUACGUCCUACGGGAGAAAGCAGGGGACCUUCGGGCCUUGCGCUAUCAGAUGAGCCUAGGUCGGAUUAGCUAGUUGGUGAGGUAAUGGCUCACCAAGGCUACGAUCCGUAACUGGUCUGAAAGGAUGAUCAGUCACACUGGAACUGAGACACGGUCCAGACUCCUACGGGAGGCAGCAGUGGGGAAUAUUGGACAAUGGGCGAAAGCCUGAUCCAGCCAUGCCGCGUGUGUGAAGAAGGUCUUCGGAUUGUAAAGCACUUUAAGUUGGGAGGAAGGGCAGUAAGUUAAUACCUUGCUGUUUUGACGUUACCGACAGAAUAAGCACCGGCUAACUUCGUGCCAGCCGCCGCGGUAAAAC
rnacentral:rRNA from 1 species